GAUUAUGGCCAUACCACUCUAAACACAUUCUAUCUCAGCUGAUCUUGGAAGUUAAGCAGAGCCAGGCCUUGUUAGUAUUUGCAUGGGAGGGUAGCAUUACAAGCCAUGACGG
rnacentral:rRNA from 1 species